CGGACCGCCGCGGUAGUGCCGGCUCGGGACAGAGGCUAGGGCACGGCAAGGCUGUCUGCGGCCACGAGCGCUUCCCGGGCCGACCACGCUCCUCUACUGGACCGCAGUCGGGUUAAAGGGAGGGGAGCGGGGGCUCAGCUGCCCCCCGGGGCGCUCGGAGCCGCGAGGUGCGGAGCCCGGGGAAAGGCGGCACACGGACCGGCUGUUGCCUGCCUCGCACCUUCCGCCUGCAACGCCAGCGAGAAACCGAGGCAGCGAAGAGAGACGAGCAAUCUGGAGAACAAUUAACAAACCAUGAGCAAGAAUUUGAGACUGUGUCGGCUUUGAACUGUGCAAGCUCUGUUUCAUUCACGCUUGGAUCGCAGUUGGGCAUCUUCUCCCACUGUGUACACACAGGCAAAUAAUCUUCAGGACGUGGGGGAAUAACAAGCAAAAAAACAAACACCUUACCACUCUGCUCCAAAUGCACGCUGACUUCUUCACCAGUCCCUUAAAAAAGAACUACCACAACAGCUUGGGACUUCCUCCCUCCCCUGCAUCCUCUCUGAGCAGUUAAGUGAAAGUUCAUUGAGUGGAGUGUGGAAUAAGUGUCACAGCCUUUGCUAGAGCCACAGUCCAGGGCCUUAAGAAAUACACAUUAAGUGCCACGGCUGCAAUGAUUCCCACCUAGUGGACAUCUCCUUCAAACUACAUCAGGCUGGUAUUCCCGUACAGCAAGCCAUAAUGAGGCAAUGUUAUUAGCCUUAAUGCAGAACUGAGGAGCUGAAGCACACAAAGGUGAAACCACUUGCCCACUGUAGGCACACUCACGAGAGAAUGGACUUAUACUCUGGUCUCCUAAAUAUGAAAAUAAUGAUCCAACUGCUGAAACACCUCUUCCUACAGAUACUUACUAUUAAUUCCAUACCUUGCUUUCCUGACUGCCUUGUUUAGAUAAAGACACCAGUCAGACACAGAAAAAAAAAAAUCAUGUAAUAUUGAAAAAUAUCCAUUCUCCUUUAUCUCAUACUUGUUUUUGAUGCAAUAAAUAAGCCUCUUUUCUUUGUAAGGACUCAAUAGUACAAUAUUCACGUAUGAGGAG
rnacentral:lncRNA from 1 species